UACAGAGGUCCCAAGCGUUGUUCGGAUUCAUUGGGCGUAAAGGGUGCGUAGGCGGCGCGGUAAGUCGGGUGUGAAAUCUUGGAGCUUAACUCCGAAACUGCAUUCGAUACUGCCGUGCUUUGAGGACUGGAGAGGAGACUGGAAUUUACGGUGUAGCGGUGAAAUGCGUAGAUAUCGUAAGGAAGACCAGUGGCGAAGGCGGGGU
rnacentral:rRNA from 1 species